rnacentral:snRNA from 1 species
GUGCUUUCAUGGCACAUAUAUUAAAACUGGAAUGAUACAGAAAAAAAUUAGCAUGGCCCUUGAACAAAGAUGACAUGGAGA